GCACCUUUCUUGGCUGAUCCCUUUCGCUGUAUGGCGUGCUCGUUUGGGUUGGGCGUCGGCUAAGAGUGCUCGGAGUGUGGAUUAACUCCAGUCUCCUAUCAGGUGAGCCUUGAUGUGGGGACUUGGGCCGGAGGGGAUUCAGAGUAGCCACGGUGAUUGUCUUUUGGCUUUUAAACAAGCAUUGGCUUUCAUUAAAUUUCCUUUAAUUAUUAUUUAUUUUUGGGUUGUAAUAAGGCCAUUUUAACUUUUCUUUUAUUUCUUCUCGAGAUUAUUUUAUUUUUAAUAACUUCAAA